rnacentral:rRNA from 1 species
GGCGAGUGAAGCGGGAAUAGCCCAGCGCUGAAUCGCGAUGCUUUUAGUAUCAGCGAAAUGUAGCGUUUAGGUGAAUCGUCGGGGCGGUCGAUCGUUGCCCAAGUCCUCCUGAACGGGGCUUUACCCAUGGCGGGUGUCAGGCCUCUGGAGGCGUCGAUCUCCGUCUCCCCGGUCUACCUUGGAGUCGGGUUGUUUGAGAAUGCAGCCCAAAGCGGGUGGUAAACUCCAUCUAAGGCUAAAUACUUGCACGAGUCCGAUAGCCAACAAGUACCGUGAGGGAAAGUUGAAAAGAACUUUGAAGAGAGAGUUCAAUAGUACGUGAAACCGUUUAGAGGUAAACUGGUGAAGUCGUAAAGUGGCCGAGAUAGAUUCAACCGUUCGAGCGUCGGCUUUGGCAACGUGUUCCAACAGAUGCGUGAUCGCACUGGCGCUGUCAAUCGUUGGCCUUCGUCGAUCGGCGCACUUCUUUCUCGGCAGCGUCACGACCGAUUUAUUGCUGGUCAAAAGCUCCGUUGGAAGGUGACUCUCGCCCCGGCGGGAGAGUUAUAGCCAACGACAGCGUCGUCCAGCGAGAGAUCGAGGAAUGGCCGUACCCGCUCUUACGAGCACGGGCCCUCGUUCCUCGCUCGCCGUUCAACUGGGCUGGACUGUCUACAGUGCUGUCCGACUGCGGCGGGUGUUGUGUUGCGAGUGCGCUCCCGAGUGGUACAAAAGGUCGGUGGCGAGUGGUCGGCAAUUCACCAGACCCGUCUUGAAACACGGACCAAGGAGUAUAGCGCGUAUGCGAUGUCGCAGGGCACAUACGAAACCCGAAGGCGCAAUGAAAGUAAAGGUCGGUCUCCGUUAUCGACUUAGGCGAGAUCUAGCGUCCCCGAGACGCUAGCGCAUCGCCGGCCCGUCUUGGUCUCGCCGUAGACGAGGCGGAGCACGAGCAUACGCGCUGUGACCCGAAAGAUGGUGAACUAUGC